AACGAACGCUGGCGGCAGGCUUAACACAUGCAAGUCGAGCGCAUCCUUCGGGGUGAGCGGCAGACGGGUGAGUAACGCGUGGGAAUCUACCUUUUGCUACGGAAUAGCUCCGGGAAACUGGAAUUAAUACCGUAUGUGCCCUUAGGGGGAAAGAUUUAUCGGCAAGAGAUGAGCCCGCGUUGGAUUAGCUAGUUGGUGGGGUAAAGGCCUACCAAGGCGACGAUCCAUAGCUGGUCUGAGAGGAUGAUCAGCCACAUUGGGACUGAGACACGGCCCAAACCCCUAGGGGGGGCGGGAGUGGGGAAAAUUGGAAAAGGGGCGCAAGCCGGAUCCACCCGGGCCGGGGGGGGGGUGAAGGCCUUGGGGUUGAAAAGCUCUUUCACCGGAAAAAAUAAUGACGGUAUCCGGGAAAAAAGCCCCGGCAAACUUCGU
rnacentral:rRNA from 1 species